CAGCUGAGAGUAUCUCAUCUUCAACCACACAAGGUUCCUGGAAAACAGAGGAAAAAAAAGGAAUCUCCUUUCUCCUCCCAGGGAAAAUGGGUAGCAAGAUGCUGUUCAGUUUAACAAGCCCUCAACUCUUCUCCGCCGUUUCUCGCAAACCCACCACCCCUCCUUGUUUCUCGUCGAGGACUCAAUGGUCUCAGCUCACCCCUGGAAGAUCGGUUCCCUUGAGAAAAAGAUUCUUCCUGUUGCCUGCAAAAGCCACCACAGAGCAAUCAGGUCAAGUAGGAGGAGAAGACGUGGAUAGCAACAUCAUGCCUUACUGUAGCAUCAACAAGGCUGAGAAGAAAUCAAUUGGUGAAAUGGAACAAGAGUUUCUCCAAGCCAUGCAAUCGUUCUAUUACGAUGGCAAGGCGAUCAUGUCGAAUGAGGAGUUUGAUAACCUUAAAGAAGAGCUCAUGUGGGAAGGAAGCAGCGUUGUCAUGCUAAGUUCUGAUGAACAGAGAUUCUUGGAAGCUUCGAUGGCUUAUGUUUCUGGAAAUCCAAUCCUCAAUGAUGAAGAAUUUGAUAAUCUCAAACUCAAACUAAAGAUGGAUGGUAGCGAGAUUGUGUGCGAGGGUCCAAGAUGCAGUCUCCGUAGUAAAAAGGUGUAUAGUGAUCUCGCUGUAGAUUACUUCAAAAUGCUAUUGCUCAAUGUUCCAGCAUCCGUUGUUGCUCUUGGACUGUUUUUCUUCUUGGACGACAUUACAGGUUUUGAGAUCACAUACAUCUUGGAGCUUCCAGAGCCAUUUAGUUUCAUAUUCACUUGGUUCGCUGCCGUGCCUUUGAUCGUAUACUUGGCUUCAACCAUCACCAAAUUGAUCAUCAAAGACUUCCUGAUCUUGAAGGGUCCUUGUCCAAAUUGUGGAGCAGAGAAUGUUUCCUUCUUUGGAACAAUUCUUUCAAUCUCCAGUGGUGGCAAAACCAACAAUGUCAAAUGCACCAACUGUGGAACCGCGAUGGAGUAUGACUCUGGUUCUAGGCUGAUCACAUUGCCAGAAGGAAGCUAAGCUUGAACCCUGUGAGGUACAUUUUAUUUUCUACCCUGUCCUCAGAGAAGAAGGUUUACAAGCUUUUCUUCCAUAUGCUCAACAACGCACACAAAUUUAGGAGUAGCGUAUAGUGUGUGGUUGUAAGAGAUUCAAAUGGCACAAGAGUUUAAUCAUGAUCAUCAUCUUCCCAUGCUUGUAUCAUCAUUAACUCAAUUUUCUCCUCCACUAGACCUAUCAAUUGCUUUUCUGUUGAUAUGAAAAAAGCAUUUAAAAUUUUAAAACCUCUACGUUAGAACGGUCGUAUAUGUUUAGAAUUUGUUUCUUUACU